AUCAAGGCGAGUUUUUUUUUUUUUUUGUGACAACGUCAAGGCGAGUUUUUGUGUCAAGAUACAUCCUUUCAGGGUAUACUGUUUACAUACCUCAACCAUUGAUUCCGGGCUAUUUUUUAAAGAUAGAACUUGAGAGUUAAACUAGGCUGCCAGGGAAGAGGGGUCGCGGAAAUUUCUUUUCCGAUGGUUGGCUAUUAACCCCUUGAGGUUGUUUCCUUCUCACAGCUUUGUUAGUGCUGUGGCACCGUAACUGGUCUACGCUUGUUAGAUUGGUAUCGGAGAGGUUCCCUUGGUGCCGCGAAUUGUGUAUUGAUGGGUGUAUAUUCAUGUCGAUAAGAUGUGGAGUUGAGUUCGCUCUGCUUCACAGCAAAGUACUCUAUUCCAAACAACGGUUAUUUAGAUUGUACUAUGCUGCUUCUUCGGCAGUGAUGUCUGAAGACCACUUGUUUGAUGAAAGUCCUGAAGUUGAUUAUGCCAAUGUAAUGGUCAAUUUUGGAGGAAAUAGUAUGAGAGUUUCAAGCCUGGAAAGAAAGGGCAGUUUAUUUCCUAUAGUGGUCUGGGUGAUUAAAACCUCAAAUUGGGAGACUGAACUUGCAAGAGAUAAAAUGUUCUGGAAAGCUGUAAAGCUAUUUGGAUUUUAUCAUUCAAUCACUUCCUUUAGAAUUAUUAUUCACAUAUAUGCAUCGGAGGGAAUGCACAUGGAAGUAUUUGCUUUGCUCAGAGAUAUUGUUGGAUUCUAUAGGAAAGCCAAUUUAGACGCGUUCAAAUUGUUUUCAACUUUGUUAGAUUCACCUCAGCAUGUGGAACGAUCAAUUGUUGUGUAUGACAUAUUAAUAAAAGUACUUGCAUCCUAUUCCAUGCUUGAUGACGCAUUUGAUGUGUUCGUGAGAAUUAAGCAUCUGGGGUUUGAACCUGAUGCAUUGUCGUGCAAUUUCUUGUUGAAAUGCUUGGUAGAAAGAAAGAGGGUGGAGUUGGUUGGAAAAUUAUUUCAAGAGCUAAAAAUCUCAGGCCCAUCACCAAAUAUCUACACGUAUACAAUUAUGAUGAGCUUCUACUGUAGAGGAGAUUGUGGGCAGGAUGUAGAUAUUAACCAAGCUACCGGAAUUUUUGAAGAAAUAUUGAGGAGUGGGGAAAACCCAACUGUUGUCACAUAUAGUAUUUAUAUUCGUGGACUUUGUAAAGUUGGUUCUGUUGCUGCUGCUCUGCAAUUCAUUCGUGAAUGCAGGUAUAGAAAACUGCCUCUCAAUAGCUAUUGCUUUAAUUCUGUAAUUUAUGAAUUUUGUCAAAGAGGUGCAGUUCAUGAAGCUUUGGAAGUCUUCCAAGAAAUGCGGAGCUCAGGAGUAUUGCCUGAUGUUUGUAGCUACAGUAUUUUAAUUCAUGCAUGUUGUAAAAAGGGUGAUAUAGUGAAAGCUUUUGACUUGAUUGAGGAAAUGGAACUUUGUAAUAUAAAACCAUCCAUAAUUAGUUACACCUCCCUCAUCUAUGGUCUAUGCAAGAGUAAGCUGAUGGAAUUUUCAAUGUGUGUGUUUCGGAAUAUCGGUGCCUCUGGAUACAAAUAUGAUCAGGCUGCUUAUGAAACUUUAAUCAAUGGAUAUUGCUGUCAAGGUGAUAUGGGUUCAGCCAAAAAGCUUUUGGAGGAGAUGAUCACAAAUGAUCUGGUUCCGACUUCUUUUGGUUAUCAGUGUAUAAUUGGAGGAUUCUACAAACUGGGAUUCGUAGACAAGGCAUUGGAAAUUCUAAAUUCCAUGCUACAAGGUGGUAUUUUGCCAAAUACCAUCACUUGCAAUUUUAUUAUCGAUGGGCUCUGCAGAGAAGGCCGUUUCAUGGAAGCCUUGACUCUACUGGAAGAGUUCCAAGACCAAGGAAUUGACCUAAACUCUCAUUCAUAUAACGCUGUCAUCUGCAGUCUUUGCAAGAGAGGAUAUUUAAAAUGGGCAUGGGAGCUCCUUCCAAGAAUGAUGAAAAGGAAUGUGCUUCCAGGAGUUGUUAAUUAUACAACUCUCAUAGACGCUUUUGCCAAACAAUCUCAUCUAAAGAAGGCCUUAUGGUUAUACACUAAAAUGCUGAAAGUUGGAGUCAGUCCCAACACCAUCACUUAUACAGUCCUCAUUAACAUCUUUUGCCGCGUGGGCAAAAUGCAUGAAGCUUUUGGUUUUUACAAGAAAAUGAUAGAAGAUGGUUUGAAUCCAGAUCAUAUUUCAUAUACAUCUUUAAUAGCUGGUUUUUGUAGUACUGGAGAUAUGAGAAGGGCUUGGGUAGUAUUCCAAGAAAUGUUGAGGAAAGGCCUUUUGCCUGAUGUAUUUACUUACACAUGUUUGAUAGAUGGAUUUUGCAAGUUAAACCGGAUAGAUUCAGCCUCUUUUCUGUUUGAUGAAAUGAACAGAAAAGCAGUUAAUCCUAGUGUAGUCACUUACACUAUUCUCAUUGCUUGGUACCGUAAACAUGGAUAUGCAGAUCAGGCGCAUAGGUUAUAUCGUGAAAUGAGGAUAAAGGGUAUUUCACCAGAUGAUAUAACUCAUACAGUUUAUUUUGGGAGGCGGUAGAGCAGAAGCUGAGGUUUCAUGAUAUUUUGAUGGUUUAACGUUUCAUUGUGAUGUAGCUGACAUUCUGACAAUAUGAUUUAUUGCAAACUGGAGGCAUUGUUCUAGUAAUAUAAGUAAAUGUAGUUUCUAAUGUGCUUGACACACAAUUUUAAUGUGAGAGCAUGCUAAGAAGGUUGAAUUACUUGAUGGAUUUAAAGAAUUGACUUGAUAACUAAUCACAAUUUUUUUUAUGGUGAAGGAGUCAUGACUGUUUUGCACCGUAUGAUUGUGGCCAAUAACAGAAUUUGGAUUCUUAUCCUGGUCGUGGUGCUGAAGUGGAAAGCAUCUCUCAAUUUGGGGAUGUUAUUAUCAGCCUGGACCACUAUGAGCUUGGAUCACAACAAUUGGUAUCUAUUUUAUGGUUGCCCUUGCAUUAUGCAGGGAGCUGCAAGGUAAUACUGCUUUGCACCGUGCAAUGUGAUCCAAUGUGAAAGGAGAGGGACCAACUGGUUCGGGUCUUGCCUGCUUGAAGUUGAUAUUGCCAAGACUUUCGGAUGAGAUGACACAACAGUAGUGAAGGCAAUGUACACUGUAAGCAAAGCUGGGGAUUUCCCA